rnacentral:snoRNA from 1 species
GUCUUCUCAUGAGCUCCUUUCUGUCUGUUGGUGGCAGUGUAGGGAUUCACACAAGAAGAAAAGAGAAUUCACAGAACUGGCAUCACUUUACCUUCUGUCUUUACAGAGGCAAAUUGAGCUGUUUUGUGAGUCAUUC